ACAGACAGCCCCACCUGGGGCGCUCAGCCUGGCCCCCGGGAAAGAGGAAAACCCGCUGCCUCCAGGGAGGGCUGGACGGCGAGCUGGGAGCCAGCCCCAGGCUCCAGGGCCACGGCGGAGUCAUGGUUCUCAGGACUGAGCGCUUGUUUAGGUCCGGUACUUGGCGCUUUGUUUCCUGGCUGAGGUCUGGGAAGGAAUAGAAAGGGGCCCCCAAUUUUUUUUUAAGCGGCCAGAUAAUAAAUAAUGUAACCUUUGCGGUUUAAGAGGAUAAAAUGGAGGAUAUUAUUAUGUGGGUAUUUAUAUGACCUUUGUAACCAUUUAAAAAUGUAAAAACGACCUGACUUAGUAAUGCGAACCUAUAGUAGCAGCUACUCCAGAGGCUGAAAUGGGAGGAUCUCUUGAGCCCAGGAGUUGGAGUCCAGUCCAGCCAGGGCAACACAGCCAGACGCCCUUGUUUUUUAUUUUGUUUUGUUUUGGUUUUUUGUUUUUUGAGGAGUUUCCCUCUGUCACACAAGCUGGAGGGCAAUGGCGCCAUCUCAGCUCACUGCAACGUCCACCUCCUGGGUUCAAGCGAUUCUCCUGCCUCAGCAUCCUAAUUAGUUGGGAUUACAGGCAUAAGCCACUGUGCCCAGGCAGACCCCCUUCUUUAAAGAUGUAAAACCCGGCCGGGCGCGGUGGCUCACGCCUGUAAUCCCAGCACUUUGGGAGGCUGAGGCGGGCAGAUCACGAAGUCAGGAGAUCGAGACCAUCCUGGCUAACACGGUGAAACCCCGUCUCUACUAAAAAUACAAAAAUUAGCCGGGCAUGGUGGUGGGUACCUGUAGUCCCAGCUACUCCGGAGGCUGAGGCAGGAGAAUGGCGUGAACCCGGGAGGCGGAUCUUGCAGUGAGCGGAGAUUGCACCACUGCACUCCAGCCUGGGUGACAGAGCAAGACUCCCUCUCAAAAGAAAAAGAAAAAAGAUGUAAAAACCAUUCUUAGUUUGUGGGCCUUACAAAUCAGGCCACUGGCCCAUUGCUUGUAGUUAGUUGAUCCAUGUCAUGCACCCUAAAAAUGGCUCUGUCACUGUGAGUGGCUUCAGUAGGAUUUUGAGAAUAAGUUUAUAUUCUUGCUAGGUAAAACAAAACAAAAACGACAGUAAUACCAAGGAAUCUCCCCCCCCUUUUACCCUCCAUUUGUGUUUAUUGCAUAUCCACUAUAACAACAUUAAAGGACCUUUAAAAGGAAGUAA
rnacentral:lncRNA from 10 species